GAUGAACGCUAGCGGCAGGCCUAAUACAUGCAAGUCAAGGGGCUCAGCAAUGAGCACCGGCGCACGGGUGCGUAACGCGUACACAACCUACCCUCAAGAGGGGGAUAGCGGCGGGAAACUGCCGGUAAUACCCCAUAGUAUUAUUGGAUCACCUGAUUUGAUAAUUAAAGUUACGGCGCUUGAGGAUGGGUGUGCGUAUGAUUAGCUAGUUGGUGAGGUAACGGCUCACCAAGGCUACGAUCAUUAGGGGGUGUGAGAGCAUGACCCCCCACACGGUACGUNAGACACGACCGACUCUACGGAGG
rnacentral:rRNA from 1 species